CAUUAUCGAAUCUUGAGGGGGGGAAGGCAAGUUUGAGGGGGAAGGAAAGACUGUCGCUGGUCAGCUUCGUUUGACAUUGUGCACGUCCUUCUUCUCGUUCAUCUUCCUUUCUCUUUCUCUCUCACACAACACACCUGUGCACUCUUUGUAGGUCCUCGAAAGAGGAUCUAUGUAUUUCUAUCUUCACACCCGAUGUAUGGCUUUGGAAUGUGUACGAAAUCUUAUUUUACAACUUUCAGCAACGGAUCUCUUGGCUCUCGCAUCGAUGAAGAACGCAGCGAAUUGCGAUAAGUAAUGUGAAUUGCAGAUUUUCAGUGAAUCAUCGAAUCUUUGAACGCACCUUGCGCUCCUUGGUAUUCCGAGGAGCAUGCCUGUUUGAGUGUCAUUAAAUUCUUAACCAUGUCCUUGAUCGAUUUCAAGACAUGGCUUGGAGUUGGGAGUUUGUCGGCAUCGAAAGAUGGUCGACUCUCCUGAAAUGUAUUAGCAAAAGGAGGCUCUUGAGCAUCGCAUGGGCUAGCCUUUCGACGUGAUAAUGAUCGUCGUGGUUGGGUCAUGUUGCAUCAAGAAUUCAGCUCUGCUUGCUUCCAACAAACCCAUGGACAGGAAUUCGACUCUGGACUCGAGUCCAAGGUUCAAGUCCUAGCUACUAGUCGGCCAUGUGAGGUCUGGCGAACACUAGGAAGGACUUUGAAUCGGGAUGGGGGCGUCUUACUUCAUGCCAUGACUUUGAAUGCUUGACCUCAAAUCAGGUGGGAUUACCCGCUGAACUUAAGCAUAUCAAUAAGCGGAGGAAAAGAAACUAACAAGGAU
rnacentral:rRNA from 1 species